rnacentral:snRNA from 1 species
AUACUCUGGUUUCUCUUCAGAUUGUAUAAAUCUUUUGCCUUUUACUAAAGAUUUCCAUGGAAAAGAACAGGUAUGAGGGGUUUUUUCAG